rnacentral:rRNA from 1 species
UACAGACGGUCCAAACGUUAUUCGGAAUCACUGGGCUUAAAGAGUUCGUAGGCGGCGCGGAAAGUAGGGUGUGAAAGCCCUCGGCUCAACCGAGGAAUUGCGCUCUAAACUGCCGUGCUUGAGGAACCUAGAGGUGAGCAGAACUGAUGGUGGAGCGGUGAAAUGCGUUGAUAUCAAUCAGGAAUACCGGAGGCGAAGGCGGCUCACUGGGGUUUUCUGACGCUGAGGAACGAAAGCCAGGG